rnacentral:lncRNA from 1 species
CUACCAAAGUAAAUCCUUUUGAUUUGCUUUGUUUUCUCUAUGUUUUUCUUUGGGUUUUGCUACUUUUUUCUCUUUGAUUUUCGCACAUUUUUUCGCCAAAAUUUAAAUUUUGACUUUUACUGAGAUUAUCAAAAAAGAUUAAUCGAAGGUUACAUCUGUUACUGGAUUUCUUUGAAAAACUGAGCGAUUUGGUCAUCUCCUUGCAACACUGGUAACGCCAUCAUCCGUCAGCUGCACUUUUGCUCUAUCAAGGUAAUUACAUGGGUUUAAAAAGUUUUUCCCCAGCUAUGUUGUGUCUGUUACUUUGAUAUUAGCUCUGGCUUACAAAAUGGUAAGAUAUUACAGCACAAUCGAAAAAAUAUGCUGCGCCAAGAGAAUAUUAGGCAAGAAUAAUAGUUUAAGAAAUUAUACUUUCAUUAUUUUGGCAUUCAGAUUGCGAUUAAGUGUGAUUCUGUACUUCUUUCAACGCUUUAGAGAUGCCAAUGCAAAAUUGUAAUGAAGCAACAUUAUUUAAAAGUGUCAAAAGCAUGUCCUAGAUCAUUCAGAAAGUGUUCUUAGUUGAAAAAGGUAAUGUUCAUUGUGUUAGCUUUAGAGAUACUAAUUAUAAAUUUACACACAAUAUUAAGUUGCACAUGCCAAUACUCUUUGGAUUUGUUACUUCUCGAAACUGAGAACUUGACAAAGUUUCGUCUUGAAAUAUGAUUGAAGUUUGGGUUAAAGCUGGUUGCAUGUGUCUAAGGAUGUAUUAAUCCAUGUAGUAUAGAACUUUGUAUCNNNNNNNNNNNNNNNNNGCUUACCCACUUCAAUGUCAUCUUGUAAUUUAUUUAAUUGCAGCUAUACAUACUUAUGGUUAUAGGAACCUAAUAUGACUAAAUCUUGUAGUUCUUAUUUAGCUAAAUUUAUUGUUUUUUUCAUAUAUUCCAAAACCAGUUGGUCAUGAAAUAAGCACUCUAUUUGAUGGUUCAUUUUUAUCUUGACUAAAACUUAUUCUUCUUGUUAUUGGUUUGGGUUUAGUAGGUGCCAAUAACGUAUAAUCCUUUGCAUGGUAUAAAACUCAAGCUCAUUGGUGUCAGAAGUUCUUUUUACGUAUUUUGUUGUGAUUCUAUAAGCUGGGUUUCUAUGAAACACAGAGCAUAAAGUUCAAAACUGUUUGUUCAUCUUCACGACUUCGAUGAUGUUCUUCACUGCUCCGUUUUGCUUUUUCAAGGUAAGCGCAUAGUUAAAAAAGUUAGUUUUCUGAUCUAUCGUGUUGGAUCUUUUACUACGGCUCUAUUGUUUGAAGGUUUAUAAGUUUGACUUCACUGAACUUCAAUAAACUGAUAAUCAGACUGUAGUCUUUAAUGUAUAACCUGUAAAUUAUAGAGCUUUGAUUUUUUUUCAUUAUUUGUCCCAAAGUAAAGAUUUGGAUAAUCUGAGUUGUUUAGUUAGCCCUUCUGGUUGGGUAUAAACAAGAGUGUCUAUGAAUUGCUCAAAUUAAAAUAAACAUUCAGGACCAAACUACUAUUUCUAAUUACUAUCUUAAAGGUAUGAAAGGUUGAGUACUUUAAUAUAUGUCAGUUAGUAGCCAUGUUGGUGAAACGGUAGAACUUUGCUCAUAUUUAACUUAUGUCUCCUUCUUGCUCAUUGAUAUAUUUCAUGUCUCACUUCUGCACUUUUAUCAUUGGAAGAGAUAAUAUUUUCUAUUUUACACAAUCAACACCUUUGAAAACAAUUAAUAGUUUUCAUUUACUCUAUCAGGACCUGCUAUUCAUCCAUUGGUCGAGCAAGAUUCUCAAAGCUUGCAGCAAUUACUUCCUG